UAAACAAAAAAGGGGUGCUUCAUUGUAGGCUGAGAUUAUACCCUCGAACCUGAUGCGGAUAAUGCCGCCGUAGGGAUUUGAGUUAACGAAAAA
rfam:Bacteroidetes oral taxon 274 str. F0058 genomic scaffold supercont1.1, whole genome shotgun sequence.